UACGUAGGCAGCAAGCGUUGUUCGGAGUUACUGGGCGUAAAGGGUGUGUAGGCGGUUCUCUAAGUCUGGUGUGAAAUCUCCCGGCUCAACUGGGAGGGUGCGCCGAAAACUGGAGGACUAGAGUGCGGGAUGGGAGAGUGGAAUUCCUGGUGUAGCGGUGAAAUGCGUAGAUAUCAGGAGGAACACCUGUGGUGUAGACGGCUCUCUGGACCGCAACUGACGCUGAGACACGAAAGCGAGGGUAGCAAACAGG
rnacentral:rRNA from 1 species